rnacentral:rRNA from 1 species
UACAGAGGGUGCGAGCGUUGUUCGGAAUUAUUGGGCGUAAAGGGCGCGUAGGCGGCUUGCCAAGUCAGGGGUGAAAUCUUUCGGCUCAACCGGAAAAGUGCUUCUGAUACUGGCAGGCUGGAGGGAGGUAGGGGCAGAUGGAACUUCCGGUGGAGCGGUGAAAUGCGUAGAUAUCGGAAGGAACGCCGGUGGCGAAAGCGAUCUGCUGGAUCUCUUCUGACGCUGAGACGCGAAAGCGUGGGGAGCAAACAGG